rnacentral:rRNA from 1 species
UAAGGAAUAUUGGUCAAUGGACGCAAGUCUGAACCAGCCAUGCCGCGUGAAGGAUUAAGGUCCUCUGGAUUGUAAACUUCUUUUAUCUGGGACGAAAAAAGGCGAUUCUUCGUCACUUGACGGUACCAGAUGAAUAAGCACCGGCUAACUCCGUGCCAGCAGCCGCGGUAAUACGGAGGGUGCAAGCGUUAUCCGGAUUCACUGGGUUUAAAGGGUGCGUAGGCGGGCAGGUAAGUCAGUGGUGAAAUCCUGGAGCUUAACUCCAGAACUGCCAUUGAUACUAUCUGUCUUGAAUAUUGUGGAGGUAAGCGGAAUAUGUCAUGUAGCGGUGAAAUGCUUAGAUAUGACAUAGAACACCUAUUGCGAAGGCAGCUUACUACGCAUAUAUUGACGCUGAGGCACGGAAGCGUGGGGAUCAAACAGGAUUAGAUACCCUGGUAGUCCACGCCCUAAACGAUGGAUACUCGACAUACGCGAUACACUGUGUGUGUCUGAGCG